rnacentral:rRNA from 1 species
UACGGAGGGGGCUAGCGUUGUUCGGAAUUACUGGGCGUAAAGGGCGCGUAGGCGGGAUGGCAAGUCGGUCGUGAAAUCCUUCGGCUCAACCGAAGAACGUCGAUCGAUACUGCUGUUCUUGAGGGUUGCAGAGGAGACUGGAAUUCCCGGUGUAGCGGUGAAAUGUGUAGAGAUCGGGAGGAACACCGGUGGCGAAGGCGGUCUCUGGGCAAUUCCUGACGCUGAGGCGCGAAAGCGUGGGAGCAAGCGGG